AUUUCAACAGACAAAGCACAGUUCACUACAGACUAAACAGUUGCUGGUGGCUGAUGGAAACACUAAUGACUCACUUCUAGUGUGUUUCCUUAUGUUCGAGGUCAUCAAACUAGAAACUUAAAAUUAAACUAUAGAAGCUCUUAAACUAUGUAGCUCCAUCCCGUCUGUACGUAUUUAAUACUAUCUGAUCGAAUGUAUCCGGAGAGAGUUAUGUAACGCGAAAUACACAACUAGAUGCAACGCGAGGCCGACCAGCAAGUAGAAUGUCCAGUCACAUUAAGGUUACCACCUGUCAAAAGUCUCAAUUACCAACUUUUGCAGUGCGUACCGCAGCGAGGCGAGCAGGAAGAGAGUAGGUGACGUUCUGGAAGGUACUGACAAGGAUGUGGAGAUAUGCUGUCUCCAGUGCCGUCGCCAUUUGCUCUAGGUUCUUCGGUUGAGGAUGCAAGGCACGAACAGCCCGGUCGAUGUGGUCCUACAGAUUAUAGACUGGGUUUAAAUCUGGGCAGUUUGUUGGUGAGGGAAUAUGGUAAACUGAUCCUGUUGCUCUUGGAACCACACACGUACACUGCGAGCUGUCCUGUUGGUGAAUGCCAACAUACCGAGGAAAAACAAACUGGAGGUGGACAUGGUUCAUAAGGAUAGAUCCAUCGUGCCUCCCAGAACGACGAAAUCAUCCAGUGAGAGCCCUCUGUUCUGGAAGCUUGCGAAGAUUGUUGCAGGAUGUUCACUUUCAGGCAUUUCACGCUGUACACGACAGUGGUCAUCUGAAUGGUGCAGCACAAAACGUUCUUCAUCUGGAAAGUUCGCCUUUCGACACUCAGUGGACGUCAAGUUGCGAUACUGGUGUUCAAAUUCAAGUCUUUGCCGCCGAUUAACAGCAGUCAGCUUGGGUGCAUGAGCCAGGCGCUUGCUGCCGAGGUACACAAGUAGCAAUGUUCACUGAUAGGUCGUUGAGGAGGCACUGUUGGUAGUCUCUUGGUUCAUCCAGAUGGUCAGUUACUCAUCAAUCGCUCGUCUUCUCGCCCGUACACAUUGCCGCAGCCAUCGUUCGUCCUUGACAUCUACGGCCUGUUGCGCACCAGAGUUGCCCCAGUACAAGUUUCGGAGAGCAUUGUGUAGAGUGGUUGUAAAAAGUCGUAUGAAACCAGCGAAACGAACCACUCGUGAGUUAAAAAGUGCUACCAGCAGUUCAGCUAGACAAAUGGCUGUCCGUAGAGAGUUAAAAAGAAAUGGGUACAAUGGCCGAUCGUAAGCCAUACAUUUCUGUAGUCAGUGCUAAACGACCCUUCAGGGCCGGGGGAGCGGUGUGCUGGCUAAAACCCUCUUCGUAUCUGCAUCCAGUAGUAUCAAUGGGUUGAGGAUGACACAAUUGUCGGUCGGUACCUCUGGGCCUUCAAGUCUUGCAAGUCUUGGUGUAUGUUCUAUACCAUGAGGUCUUUUAUUUAAUGUAGUACUCCUUUGGGAGUUACUAACAGUCGAACACUAAGGAGAAAUGCCCAGCUACCAAGCAUCCUAAAUAAAGGUUACAAUAGAGAAAACUAAUAAUCAUAUUAACAGAAUCACUCAUCCAGCAUAUUUUCACCUAUGUGAAUGUUAAGUGCGCCGCCACUGUUCCAAAUUUUAAGCACUCCGUCCAAAUCCUAUGACCACACGCACUCCAGCUCACCCCCGUAUCAAUUACUUUCUCUCACACGUGUACUGUACGAAUUCUUAACGUUCCCAAACCCCCUCAUACACCUAUUAUAUCUUCACUUGUCCUGUAUUUUGUGUGCCGACCGGAGUGGCCGUGCGGUUCUAGGUGCUAUAGUCUGGAACCGCGAGACCGCUGCGAUCGCAGGUUCGAAUUCUGCCUCGGGCAUGGAUGCGUGUGGUGUCCUUAGGUUUGUUAGGUUUAAUUAGUUCUAAGUUCUUGGGGACUGAUGACCGCAGAAGUUAAGUCCCAUAGUGCUCAGAGCCAUUUGAACCAUUUAUUUUGUGGAACUCUGACCCUUGAAAGAAAGUGUAUAAUCAGCUUUCUUUGGAUAACCAUUCCCCUUUAUAUUGUGUCUCUCAAAAGCAUAAUAUAUUUUACUGCCUUGAAAACUUCAUGACACUUUGUAUUCGGGCGCUGUAUGUUUCAGCAUCCAAAAGUUCUUUUUCUUUGCCUUUAGUCGUCAUCAGUUUUUAUCGACUUUAUGGAGGCUUCUCAUUAGCACUGUUGCAUAUAAGCUGUUUUUCUAGAGGAUAGUGGUACAGGCACAUCGUUUGAACAUCCAGCGGAAUUUGUACUCUGGGAAAACUUCUCUAGGAAGAAAGGCUUCAACAAGCGUAUACAGAGAACUGUCCCGUCCAUAAGGUGUUUGCAGUUAUAGAGGAAAUUAGAAAAAAUGCCCGCAGCCUUCAAAUACUUUAAAAGUGUCGAAGUGGGGGAAAAAACAAGAGCUAGGCUAAGGAGAUUACAAGAAAGAAUAAAUAUAGGAUUUGUCUCAAGGUAAGUAGAAGAAAGGGCUGUAUCCAUGUAUGGCAACAUGCAGUGCGCAUUUCGCUUGCCGUCCAAAUGACAGAUUCCUGUAUCCUUGUUGGUCUAGAGCCCUUUAUUUUCGGUAUUCAGUCCAGCACUCUAAGUAGUAUAACAUAUAAUGAAAUGGGUCAAGAAAGUUGAAUUCAUAAAAUUCACGUGUUCUCAUUUCUUUUCCUUUUAUUCGUACAAUAAGCUUUCUUCCUCCCCUCCUCCUUGCGCGUGUUUGUAUGAGAAUGCGUAACUGGGAGAUUACGAGUUAUCUGAAGUUCGCCCCAAUGAGGUUCAAAUGGCUCUGAGCACUAUGGGACUCAACAUAUGAGGUCAUCAGUCCUCUAUAACUUAGAACUACUCAAACCUAACCAACCUAAGGACAUCACACAACACCCAGUCAUCACGAGGCAGAGAAAAUCCCUGACCCCGCCGGGAAUCGAACCCGGGAACCCGGGCGUGGGAAGCGAGAACGCUACCGCACGACCACGCGCCCCAAUGAGAUCAGAGGUCUUCGUAGAGUCGUAGGUUGUGCUGCCAACCAAACCUUUAGACUGCUUGAGGUUUUUGCAUUUUAUUUCGUGAGAUUGUAUACCGCAGGAAUGGUUUUAUUUACGAUUGUGUUUGAUAAAGCCGUGUUGUGAUCAAUAGACUGUUGUGAAUAAUAUCAACCAGCAUUUCACUUCCGUUGCCCCUUCCAUUCACCUUGAGAGCCAUGAAAAGAGAACAAUUUUAUGAUGGGCGUAUCGACUACAUCGAGUAUUAAAGGAAACUUUGAUUUUGUGUGAAUUAAAAUCGCUGAUUGAACAGCCCGCGACGUUAUUUUCGGCUACUACCAGUAGACCCAUUGUGUAUUCAGUCGGUUCCUGUUGUCACUAUCUGUUGUAGAUCAGACAUAGAUUUCAUAAUAAUCAGUUUAUUCGGCCUUCCUCAGAAGGACAUCGAUCACCUGUGAAUCAAUGCCAAGACAAAUAACUGCUUCCACAAGGGCCAGAGGUAGACUAUCGCGUUGUUGACUUGCUGAUUUUGUGAAGCUCUUUCUCUUGCAUAAAAAAUCCAUUUUUUGAUUGUAGUCAUUUCCCUGUCUGUAAAUGUACAUCAGAUCUACCGAUUUCCGACCCAUUCGGAUAAUUCCUUACUGAUGCGAAGCUUUUUUUUUUUUUCUUUUUCUUUCCCACGUAAUGUGCACAUAGAUUGGGCGCAGCUGCUCGGCCAUUGUACCCAUGUUUUUUAACUCCCUUCGAACAGUCAUUGAACUCCUGGUGGCACUCUGGAGCUCACGAGAGAUUUCUUUCGAUGAUUUCAUGUGAAUAUUUACAAUCAUCCUGCGCAAUACUCGAAUGGUCCCUAUCUGUGAUUGUAUGAGCACUUCCUCGGCUUGGUUAACUGAGGUUGUUCCACCGUCAACUUCAGUGGUUUUAAGUGUUCUUGAUGAAUUUGUUACCCACUUGGAAUCGACUGACUAGUCCACGUUCGAAAUCACUGAGCUCGCCCGACCGACCCAUCCAGCUGUUACUGUUCCCUGUUGAAAACACAAUACCCUCCGGCUUCCUUUGCACUA